AUGCGUAUGUUGAGAUGGAUGUGUGGCCACACGAGGAAGGAUCGAGUCCGGAAUGAUGAUAUAGGAGAUAGAGUUGGGGUGGCACCGAUUGAAGAGAAGCUUGUCCAACAUCGUCUGAGAUGGUUUGGGCAUAUUCAGCGUAUGCCUCCAGAAGCUCCAGUGCAUAGCGGACGGCUAAAGCGUGCGGAGAAUGUCAAGAGAGGGCGGGGUAGACCGAAUUUGACAUGGAAGGAGUCCGUUAAGAGAGACCUGAAGGAUUGGAGUAUCACCAAAGAGCUAGCUAUGGACAGGGGUGCGUGA
rnacentral:rRNA from 1 species